GAGUUUGAUCCUGGCUCAGGAUGAACGCUAGCGACAGGCCUAACACAUGCAAGUCGAGGGGCAUCGGGGCGAGGAGCAAUCCUUGCCGCCGGCGACCGGCGCACGGGUGAGUAACGCGUAUGCGACCUGCCCGUUGCAGGGGGAUAAUCGGGAGAAAUCCCGUCUAAUACCGCGUAAUGCCGCGGGGCUGCAUGGCCCUGCGGCCAAAGGAAGCGAUUCCGGCAACGGAUGGGCAUGCGUGACAUUAGCUAGUUGGCGGGGCAACGGCCCACCAAGGCGACGAUGUCUAGGGGUUCUGAGAGGAAGGUCCCCCACACUGGUACUGAAACACGGACCAGACUCCUACGGGAGGCAGCAGUGAGGAAUAUUGGUCAAUGGGCGCGAGCCUGAACCAGCCAAGUCGCGUGAGGGAUGACGGCCCUACGGGUUGUAAACCUCUUUUGUCGGGGAGCAAAUUCCGCCACGUGUGGCGGAGUCGAGAGUACCCGAAGAAAAAGCAUCGGCUAACUCCGUGCCAGCAGCCGCGGUAAUACGGAGGAUGCGAGCGUUAUCCGGAUUUAUUGGGUUUAAAGGGUGCGUAGGCGGACUGUCAAGUCAGCGGUAAAAUACGGGGGCUCAACCUCCGCCCGCCGUUGAAACUGACGGUCUUGAGUGGGCGAGAAGUAUGCGGAAUGCGUGGUGUAGCGGUGAAAUGCAUAGAUAUCACGCAGAACUCCGAUUGCGAAGGCAGCAUACCGGCGCCCAACUGACGCUGAAGCACGAAAGCGUGGGUAUCGAACAGGAUUAGAUACCCUGGUAGUCCACGCAGUAAACGAUGAAUACUAGCUGUCCGGGGCGAAUGAGCCCUGGGUGGCACAGCGAAAGCGUUAAGUAUUCCACCUGGGGAGUACGCCGGCAACGGUGAAACUCAAAGGAAUUGACGGGGGCCCGCACAAGCGGAGGAACAUGUGGUUUAAUUCGAUGAUACGCGAGGAACCUUACCCGGGCUCAAACGACACAGGAACGUACCUGAAAGGGUUCGGCUCUACGGAGCCUGUGUCGAGGUGCUGCAUGGUUGUCGUCAGCUCGUGCCGUGAGGUGUCGGCUUAAGUGCCAUAACGAGCGCAACCCCCAUCGACAGUUGCUAACAGGUCAGGCUGAGGACUCUGUCGAGACUGCCGGCGCAAGCUGCGAGGAAGGCGGGGAUGACGUCAAAUCAGCACGGCCCUUACGUCCGGGGCGACACACGUGUUACAAUGGCAGGUACAGCGGGAAGCCACCUGGCGACAGGGAGCGGAACCCGAAAGCCUGUCUCAGUUCGGAUUGGAGUCUGCAACCCGACUCCAUGAAGCUGGAUUCGCUAGUAAUCGCGCAUCAGCCACGGCGCGGUGAAUACGUUCCCGGGCCUUGUACACACCGCCCGUCAAGCCAUGGAAGCCGGGGGUGCCUGAAGUGCGCUGCCGCGAGGAGCGCCCUAGGGUAAAACCGGUGACUGGGGCUAAGUCGUAACAAGGUAGC
rnacentral:rRNA from 1 species